rnacentral:rRNA from 1 species
UACAGAGGGAGCAAGCGUUGUUCGGAAUUACUGGGCGUAAAGGGCGCGUAGGCGGUUCGAUAAGUCCCGUGUGAAAUCCCUCGGCUCAACUGAGGAAUUGCACGGGAAACUGACGGGCUUGAGUUCGGGAGAGGGAAGCGGAAUUCCAGGUGUAGCGGUGAAAUGCGUAGAUAUCUGGAGGAACACCGGUGGCGAAGGCGGCAUCCUGGACCGGCAUUGACGCUGAGGCGCGAAAGCCAGGGGAGCGAACGGG